rnacentral:lncRNA from 1 species
UCACUGCACCACUUCAGAAUAGCUCUCCACCACCACCACCACCAUCACUCCUCAGUCCCCCACCUUCGAGGCCACCAGUGUGUAAACAAGGUGAAGAAGAACCCCAAAGUCAUGUUCUCCACUCGCCUACUUCUCUCCGUCCGCCACACUCAUCCUCUCCCUCGUCCUGCUCCUCCUCUUCCUCUUACUCCUCUUCCUCCUCAUUCACCUUCUCCACCUUGUCUUCAUGAUUCUCCUUCUCCUUCAGUGCUUUUCAAUAUUUUUUUCUUUAUUUUCUCCAGAACCGUAAGUUUCUGAAGAGGUCAAGCAGAGAAAAUUUACACAAGAAAACCGCCUCCUGGAUUGAUCAAGUUAUGUUUCUUCCCAACAUAAGAGAAAAGUAAUGGAGAGGAUCACUUGUGCACGUCAAGAACAAGACAUCCAUCAAGUGUUGUGUGUAUUUUGAGCGGCGUGUGUCCCCAACGCCCAAAGGAGGUCACCGCUUCAACUUCCCUUGUGCGGGGUCACGCGGUCGCCACCUCCGCCCUCACAGAGUCACGCAGGGAGGCGUCUGACCUCCUGCCCUGCUGCUAAGGUCAUGAGGUGUGAUGACAAGGUCGUGUGUCAUUACGGGACAUGAGUGACGGAAGCCAAGGUCAGGCGCCCACACGGAGAUGGCAGAGGUGGUGGUGAGGCACAGUGACGCGCUACUGAGGCGGUUCGAGUACCACUGCCACAAUUACAAUCAGUAAGGAGUCAGUCAAUCGUCGCGAGGAAGAAAAGCCGAAUGUGCAGCACGGGCCAGUGCAUGCCAAGGCCACCACUGAUAAGAACAGCCGUCUGUCUGUCUUUCUAUCUGUCUGUGCCCACAACGCAACACUCCAGUAAAGGCUACUGGUGUAAGAUGAAGAUAAUAAAAGAUAACAUAAUAGAGGUAGUACCUUUACCUGUCUCUCUCUCUCUCUCUCUCUCUCUCUCUCUCUCUCUCUCUCUCUCUCUCUUAGCAAAGCAGUCUUUAUACCCGGCGUUGUAAGUAAGGACGUUGCCUUCGCGCCACACACGCCAUACACAACAGGUGACAAGGACAAAAGGGAGGAGGAGGAAGAGGAGGAGGAGGAGGAGGAGGCGCCUCGUGCGUACCUCAAGACCUCGAGGUAUGACGACAAUAGUUUGGCGACAGUCCAGCUCACACACUCCCCCUCUUCCCUGACGCGGCCACUUCCCAGCACAGACAUCGAAGGCCGCUCCUCGGGUCACUAUCUCCUCCUUCCUCUCAGCGAUCAAAAUAUGUAGAACGGCAGCCACGACGGGCGCCAGUAACCUUGAACGCAGUAAGUAUUUUAGUAACUCAAGAGCAAAUCUCACAUAUACCAAGUACGCCGCGUCCCUUAUCAGCUAAGUAACCACGUAAACACGCUCCCAGGUGGCAGAGUGAUAGCACUGAGGCAGCAUUCAUUCAUCAGCCACGGACGAGGUACAGCUACGUAAACUCCCUUCCCCUUCAUUCACUUCCCGCCCUCCUCCCUUUCUUGAGCUCAGGUCGUGGGGAUGACAGGCAGGCGGCGUCUUGCUCGUGGCCCACAAACUCGUGUUCUAAAUCGUCAUUACUUCAUGCUUUCCUCUUUUCGUAACGCAGGUCAUGCCCUUCAUACUUUCUUAUUAAGUCGCCCCAGCUUGUGUAACCUUGAGGGCGGCGACGGCGAGGCAGACACAGGCAGGAGAGCAACAGGUGAGGAAACUUUUGGCUCGGGCCAGACUGAUGAAAUGUUAACGCUAUUACAAGAGGCCGCGAAUUCCCGCAGUGUCUUCAUCGAGUCAGAGUUCGCCGUCCAAUCACACGAGGAAUUUACAGAUGCAGGAUGCUUAAAAUACAAUUGCAAACGUGGAGGUUAGGAAGAGAAAUGUUGCCUAACAAAAAGUGAACACCUCCGUUGCAGUAAGGCAUAAAAUUAAAUUAUUUACGUGGCAUUAAUAACUUAUAAGAUUUUGUCGCACUGAGUACUAAAAAAAAAAAAACAGGAAAAAAAAUAUAAAAUCCAUUUACAGCAGCCAACAAUCAACUUUUAGACCAUAACAAUCUAUACCCAAGGUGCGAAAACCAGUUGGAUGUCUUCAUAAGGAUGAGUUGGAUGAUAUUUAUCUCAACCUCAAAGCGGAAUAGUCCUAUAAUAGAGAGCGUUAUUACGGAUACCUCACUUAUUAACGCUUCAGUCUAUUGAUAGUGUGUUGUGGGGAUGGUAAGGCUGGAUACUGUGUAGGAGAGAGAGAGAGAGAGAGAGAGAGAGAGAGAGAGAGAGAGAGAGAGAGAGAGAGAGAGAGAGAGAGAGAGAGAGAGAGAGGCACACUUUGUAUAUAUGUAUACUCGCAGGAUACUUGCAGGUCAAAGGACUAUUAAAAGAUUGUAUACGACAACUGCCGUUACUUUCACCGGAGAGACGAAGGCAACUGAAAAUAUUUCCAUUCUUCUGACGCAAAA